rnacentral:rRNA from 1 species
UUCUUACACAUGCAAGUCGAACGGCAGCACGGGAGCAAUCCUGGUGGCGAGUGGCGAACGGGUGAGUAAUACAUCGGAACGUGCCCUGUAGUGGGGGAUAACUAGUCGAAAGACUAGCUAAUACCGCAUACGACCUGAGGGUGAAAGUGGGGGACCGCAAGGCCUCAUGCUAUAGGAGCGGCCGAUGUCUGAUUAGCUAGUUGGUGGGGUAAAGGCCUACCAAGGCGACGAUCAGUAGCUGGUCUGAGAGGACGAUCAGCCACACUGGGACUGAGACACGGCCCAGACUCCUACGGGAGGCAGMAGUGGGGAAUUUUGGACAAUGRGGGCAACCCUGAUCCAGCAAUGCCSCGUGUGUGAAGAAGGCCUUCGGGUUGUAAAGVACUUUUGUCCGGGAAGAAAUCGCACCUGAUAAUACCGGGURUGGAUGACGGUACCRGAAGAAUAAGGACMGGCUAACUACGURCCAGCAGCCGCGGUAAU